UUAUUACUUAAUACAUCACUCAGAAUUGCUUUUAGGUCCGAGGAACUUCUUGUUUUGGUUCCCAUCACUGCUGAGUGAUAUCAGCAGGAUGUUACACACAAUAGUUUUCAAUUAGAAUUUCGUUCUCACAAAGAAAUUAUUCAAUUUUUACGCACGAUUCAAUAACGCGUCUAACUCAAGCGACGAUUAUGAUACAAUGGUGUCGACAGUAAUAAAUAUAAAAUAUCACAGUGGAAACAAGGUAACAAUAUACAAACAAACACAAUUAACCAUAAAAACAGUCAUUAGGUAUCACAUUUUCUUUCCUAACAAGAACUCUUCUAUGGAAUAUACAGUCUCAUCCAAAAGCAACCUUUUGACUUCUCUCUUGAAGUACAUCAGGGGCCUGCCAUGGAACUCAGAAGGAAGUUUAUUAUUAUAGUUUGGGGCCCCAGAAGUCAAUGCCCUGCUGUGUGCGCUUCAGACGAUGCAUUGGAAUCUGCAAGGAGUCUUUAUUUCUUGUUUGAUAUUCAUGAUUUACAGAAUUGGUAGGAAAAUCUUUCCAGUUCUGAUGCACAUAACAUAGUGCGUUGUAUAUGAAAAGUGAUGGAACUGUAAGUAUUCCAUGAUCCUUGAAUGAGGACUCAUUAUAACCCAAGUUGAACAUAACUCUGAUGGCUCUUUUUUGCAGGAUGAAAAUGCUUUGAGACCCCGAUGUCGUCCCCCAGAACAUUAUGCCAUAGUUGACGUGACUAUGAAAAUUGGCAUAGUAGACCGACUUAAGAGCUUCCAUAGUGACAACCGUCUUGAUGGUUCUUAGACUGAAAAUUGCGGAGGAAAAUACUCGUUGAACACCUGUAGAAAAUAGCUGUCAAAAUUAUUAUAUGCAUCCUCAGCAGAGGGGCUAGACAAAACAUCGUUCCACCUCACACCUGACAACGCCCACUAAAGCAACAGAAUCAUAUAUCCUCAUGGAGACCAAUUCAGCUUUCGUGCCACGCAGAAUUAUUACAGAUCCAGCCAUUCCGAAGUUAACUACGAUGUUAUCUAUACAUCUUUUGCCGUUUAUUCGACUGAUCUUAGUUAUUGUAAUUUUCAUGUUAAACGUAUCAAAUAAAACUAUCAAAUCAU